UGGGGAAUUUUCCGCAAUGGGCGAAAGCCUGACGGAGCAAUACCGCGUGAGGGAGGAAGGCUUUUGGGUUGUAAACCUCUUUUCUCAGGGAAGAAGAAAGUGACGGUACCUGAGGAAUAAGCAUCGGCUAACUCCGUGCCAGCAGCCGCGGUAAUACGGAGGAUGCAAGCGUUAUCCGGAAUCAUUGGGCGUAAAGCGUCCGCAGGUGGCCUAUCAAGUCUGCUGUCAAAGAGUGGAGCUCAACUCCAUAAAGGCAGUGGAAACUGGUAAGCUAGAGUUCGGUAGGGGUAGCAGGAAUUCCCAGUGUAGCGGUGAAAUGCGUAGAGAUUGGGAAGAACAUCGGUGGCGAAGGCGUGCUACUGGGCCGAAACUGACACUCAGGGACGAAAGCUAGGGGAGC
rnacentral:rRNA from 1 species